GAGUUUCCUCACUUGCCCGUCCCACUUGAGACACGCGAGUUCCUCGCUCACGCACAGAGAGGAUGCGUUGAGCCUGCAGCCAUGCAGCAUGUCAGCACAUUGCAAAGAUCAUCUUUACUUUGAGUAAACAUCCGCAAAGAAGAUGAUGCAGCUGCCGGACCACGUGAACCGCAUUUGACACCACAGCUUGACCACAGGAAGGCAAGUGGGAAUCACGUCACAUUCGGUUCAAAUUUUAAGAGGGAAAAAGUAGCAUUAAAUUAAAGCUCUCUGACCACACACAUUUACUACAGCCCACUAAACUAUUCCACAACACUUUCAUCUGCAAACCGGUUGUUCUCUUUUUAACUGGUCGUGAGGUCUCGAUGUACCUAACUUCACUUAUCACCUCUGUGAUCUGUUCUACAUGUAUGUGCAUGAACACACGACAGAAUCUCAACAUAUUUUUUCAGUGGCCAGGAUUGCAAAAGAGGAUAUUUAUUUUCAAUUUCACAGCAUUCCACUCAUCUGUAGCGAUACUUGUAAAAGAGGUUUAUUCCAGAUGCAGCAAGAUCACAGUUGUAGAUAAGCUUCAGACAUAUCUGCAGCAAGCUCAGAUUCAACCAGUAAUGCAAUUAUUGAAAUUUAAAUGCUCAAAUGUAUGUGUUGCACACAUGACCAGACAUUUUUAUGCAGGUUACUCAAAUGUGGUAAUUGUAACAAGUACUGAAGAAAAUACUAAAGUAGGAUUUCAGUCCUAUUUUAUUCCUUCGG